CCAGGCACCAGGGAGCACAUGAGUCCAGCCUCGAGGGAGUGAGCACUCUGUCAGGGACUCCCCAGCCUCUUCCACCGAAAGCCCUGUUCCAGGAGGGACUGUUCCAGAACUCCCUGGCAGCCUCUCCAGCAGACGGGCCCCUCCUGGUCUCACAGAAGAAACUGAGGCCCUGCUGACUGGAUACCCCCCUGCCUCCAGCUGCUCCUCUUGGGGGUGCGUCCUUCUCUAGUGCUCCCCCUCGGUCCUGGUCUUUCCCCAGUGGGCACAGCCCCUUGGUUCCGGCCUUUCCCACUUCCCCCCCACUCAGUUAUCUCCUCUGACUCCGAGCAUGCUCUGCAGCCAAGGUUGGUCUUCCUGGGGCCUAGGACCCGUUCGCUGCUCUGGGACAAGUGGACACUGACAGGGCCCACGUUCUGUCCAGCUGCCAGCUCUGCGCACCCCCACAGCCUGGGGUUGUGGGGAAAGGCCUUGGUUGGGAG
ensembl:lncRNA